UGGCGAUGAGGAGACGCCUACCAUGCUGAGUCUCGGUGAGGGUGGUAUACGCUAUUCUGAGCCGGCC